CCAGAGGCCCUUGUGAAAGUUUUUCCUGACAGCAGUGAGGCUGAAAAUCCCCAGGCCUCCGCCUUCGUGGACUGACGAGGUCACGGCUCCCUUGCGCUGGGAUCCCGCUCUCUGCCGCCCUCUUCUGGGCGUCCGUCGCCGGCGGGCGCAGAGGGGAGCCGGCCUCGCACCGCACCCCACCCUCUUCGCUGGGUUUAGGGGGACGCUUUCCAAGGCCUAGGAUCCGAGUUUAUUGUCUCUUCGAUGCUUAUUGCAGGUCUGACACUCGCUGGAUGCCAGGAAGAGAAAAUGAAUGUAUACAUUGGCUCGCUGCUCGAAGGGGAAACUGAGGCCCAGGUGGGGGAACCCAGUGAGCUGGUUGCUCAUACAGAAUGCAGACUAUCAAGUGCCCAAGGCUUGCCCUCCCGUAGCUUCAUGGAUACGGGGAGGCGGGCGAGUCCCUGCCCUUUCCUACUCUGCAUGAACCUUUCUCAGCUCACUGGCUGGGCUGCCCUACUAAUUGGAUGGAGCAACUGGGCCAGACUGGGGAAGUGGGCGGUGAGGAGCAGAACGCAGCCUGCCUCUUCCGGGCGCCCAGGCCAGUCCUACAGCGACUUUGCUGAGCUGGCGGCCCACGCCCGGGUGCACAAUGAUGCUGACACAGACACACCCGGGAGCCUGAGGAUUGUAAAUUCAUGGAGCUGAGAUUUGUUUUAAUCACCCUUCCAUCCUGGGCACCAGAAACAGUGCUUGGCAUGUGGUUGGGCCACAAGAGGGCACCGCCUCCUUCUUGCGUGCGUCACGCCGCCUUCUUGGACACGCCCCCAGGAGGCACCUGGUCCCGGCUGCCCUGUCAGUAAAAGGAGGUGCCGGUUCUCACUGCUGGAAGAUCUGUCACCAGACUUGUCAGGGGGUGCCAAUUCCUGCUUCCCACAGGACAGAGGCCCAUGGCUUGUCUGGGCAUGUCGGGACGUAUUUUGAGAGAGUGUUAACACGUUAUGGCUGUGUUCAGAAGUGGUCUCGACGCUGAAAUUCUGGAAGAGGAGCGCGAGACCUCACACCUGUGUGUGUGUGUGUGUGUGUGUGUGUGAGCGAGUCCUUCUCACAAGGCGGAGUUCUCUGGUUGUCUCGUUCACUGCUGUGUCCCCAGCAGCAGGCGCAUACGGACGCCCAGUCAAGAAGGCUGGCAGAGGGGAAGCCACAGGAGACAGCUCUACCAGCCAGACCAGGCCAAAUGGGAGAGAGGGGGCAAGCGCAGGUGACAAGUAUAAACACAGACUUGAUUUGACUCAGUCUUACAACUUGUCAGCUGUGUGAUGUUAGACAAGUCUUUUAACGUCUGUGUCUUGGCUGCCUCAUCUGUGAAGUGGAAUAAGUGAUAGAACCUAUCUCACUGAGUUGGUGUGAAGAUUGAAUGGGACAACGCUUGUGAAAGUGUUUAACACAGUGCCUGUUUUUACUUUUGGCCGAGUCACUGAACUCGGAACAGAUCCUGGCUCUGCCUAAUGCUAUCUGGGUGACCAGGGGCUGGUCACUUCACCUCUCUGAACUUCACCAUCUCACUGACCUUCAGGAGUUUUGAGGACAAAGCCAGAUGAACAAACUGCGGUGCACAGAGGAGUCAGGACUUGCCCAGAAUCAUGAAGCAGAUAGUGACACAGAUGGGACUCAAGUCCAGUGCUUCCUCAGCGGACAUUCUGGAGAAUGGAGACACUCCCGUCCUUCCUGGUGCCUGCAGGCACCACACCACUUACCACUUACCACUUCUGGCGACGGCUGCAGAACAACUUCUCCCUUCCCGAGCUACAGUGCUUCAUCUCAGACUCCCAACUGACCAGAGAUGCAGCACUGCACCUCAGGCUGGGAGACAGGACGCCAUACCACUCUGCACCAGGGGCCGAAGGCAGGGAGUCCACCCUAGGCAGGAGAAGGGGCAUUAGAGGGGCCUCGGCUCCUCCCUCCAGCUCCUGCUCUGGAGGCUGCUGCAGCUACCCUGGGUGUGCUUCCUGUCCUCAGCCUGGCAUUUGAGCCCUCUGGGACCAAGCUUCACCCUUCCUUUUCUUUUUAAACAGUUUCAUUGAGAUAUAAUCCUCCUAUUCAAAUUACACAAUGAAAUGGUUUUUUAGUUCAGUCACAGAGUGGUGAGUUGGGUUUCCCUGAUGGCUUAGUGGGAAAGAAUCUGCCUGCAGUGCAGGAGAUGCAGGAGAUGAAGGUUUCAUCCCUGGGUUGGGAAGAUCCACCAGAGGAAGAAAUGGCAAACCACUCCGGUAUUCUUGCCUGGAAAAUUCCAUGGAUGGAAGAGAGCCUGGCAGGCUACAGUCCAUGGGGUCACAAAGAGUUGGACACGACUGAGCGUGAAUCCAACAACACAGAGUGUCACAAGCAUCACUACAGUUGUAGAACAUUUCAUCAUCCCAAAGAAUCCUCUACCGCCCCACCACCCCUCACCCUGGGUGAUAGUCUACCUUUUUGACUCCAUACCUCAUCUUUAUGCUUGGUGUAUCCCAGCCAAAUGGCACAUUCAUGGUACUUUAUAUUU
ensembl:lncRNA